rnacentral:tRNA from 1 species
UGCGGGGUCGUUUAACUGGUAAGACGGCCAGCUGUCAACUGGACCAUGCGGGUUCGAGUCCCGCCCCCGCAG